UUGUAGAGAGGUAACAGAGUGUUAUAGAGAGGUAACAGAGUGUUAUAGAGAGGUAACAGAGUGUUAUAGAGAGGUAACACAGUGUUAUAGAGAGGUAACAUAGUGUUAUAGAGAGGUAACAGAGUGUUAUAGAGAGGUAACAGUGUUAUAGAGAGGUAACAGAGUGUUAUAGAGAGCUAACAUAGUUUUAUAGAGAGGUAACAGAGUGUUAUAGAGAGGUAACAGAGUGUUAUAGAGAGGUAACAGUGUUAUAGAGAGGUAACAGAGUGUUGUAGAGAGGUAACAGAGUGUUAUAGAGAGGUAACAGAGUGUUAUAGAGAGGUAACAGAGUGUUAUAGAGAGGUAACAGAGUGUUAGUAUAGAGAG
rnacentral:lncRNA from 1 species